rnacentral:sRNA from 1 species
CGAUCUUACAAUCAUAUUUCACUUAAUCUUUUAACAUAUAAUAUAUAAAUAUAUAUGAUAGUAAUUUAUAUAUCAUAUAUUAAUAUAUUAAGUUAUAUAUAUAUAUAGAUAAAUUUAUACAAUUAUUAAUUUAUGAUAUUGAUAGACUAUAUGUUUACACAUGGUUUUCAAAAAAAAUAUUAUCGCACCAACUCGGGACCGAAAGAAUUUAUCAAUUUAUAGAGAUUAGAAAGUGGAAUAAAUUUAUCGAGUAUUAAAUUAUAGAGAUUUUACUAAAAAUGCUAAACUUGUCAAAGUAAAAGCCCAAUCACAAUCUCCAACAAGAUCUUUUCAUUAUCAUCCGAGAUCAAGAAUAUUUUAGUGGGUCGUCAUGGAGAGUCCAACUCCGACGGACGUGAGUUUUAUAGUCGUCAGAACAGCUUGCGAUAUGCGCAUCGAAGUGAGUUUUAUAGUCUUCAGAACAGCUUGCGAUACUCUUAAGAUGGUCAAUUGCACCAAUCGUACAAAAUCGAUACAAAUAAAUGGAUGAAACAAACAUUUAUUUUUGCAGAAAACUUUAAUUUGUCAAUCAACUUGAUAUGAAAAUGAAGCUUUACAUGUAGGUCGGAUCUCCACUGAUGCACUAUGAUGGUUGAAUUGGAAACAAUGGGGUUUAUCAAAUGCUUUCUCGUUCAUUAUGUGAUGCAUGCGUUAUGAGCGAUCGACUCUUUGUCUUUUAUCUAGGAUAAGAUUGAUGACUUAUGAUGCCACUAGAAAUAAGCGGAGAACCAACCCAUCAAAAGUCAUUGGAUUACAAGAAAUAAUCAAUUACUAAUAAGAGACUUAUUUGAGGGGUGUUUAUAAGUUUUGCCAUUUGGCCAAAAAAACUUUUAAAAAUGCAAUUUUCUUAUAUACAACUUUACACAUGAUGUUUGGUUAAGUUCCAGUUUUUUAGGGUAUAGUUUUUGUUAUGAAUUAUAUUGUAUAAUUGUUUUUU